CUGUCUCGAUUCGUUGAGGGUUCGUUGGAUUCGGAGGAUGGCCAGCGCGCCACCACGCCGGUCCGCUCGCCGGGUGGAGGCUCCGAGGUCGAGAGAGGCACCGGGUUGUUGGAGAAAAGAUUACACCACAACAUUUUAUUUUGUCGGACAUCAAUAAAAACUGUUGUGGAGCCGUACAAAGUACCAUUUCAAAUGCUGCCAUUCCCAAAAUAUAUAAUCUUGAACCUUGCAGAUUUUGUCAAACUACCAAACAGGACUUUAGUUGACAUUAUGGCUAUUGUAGUCUACUUAGAUACAAUUCAUUGCACAAUGUGGGGUCCAUUCAGGAAGAUUGUUGUCAUAAAUGCUAGGUGGUCUCUACAUACCAUUAAAGUUUGGGGUGACUUGCUAAACAAAAAUGCACUCCACUAG
rnacentral:misc_RNA from 1 species